rnacentral:rRNA from 1 species
UACGAAGGGGGCUAGCGUUGCUCGGAAUUAUUGGGCGUAAAGCGCACGUAGGCGGCUUAGCAAGUCGGAUGUGAAAUCCCUCGGCUCAACCAAGGAAGUGCAUCCGAAACUGCUGAGCUUGAGUACGAAAGAGGAUCGCGGAAUUCCCGGUGUAGAGGUGAAAUUCGUAGAUAUCGGGAGGAACACCAGUGGCGAAGGCGGCGGUCUGGGUCGAUACUGACGCUGAGGUGCGAAAGCGUGGGGAGCAAACAGG